GUUCCAAAUAACCCCUUGUUAAGUAGUGGUGCCGCUCUUAUUAGAAUCCAGAAUAAUAAGAGUCGCUCACUGCUUAUCAAGGUGAAAUUUGGGUUUU
rnacentral:pre_miRNA from 1 species